rnacentral:rRNA from 1 species
CCUGACGACCAUAGCGAGGUGGCCCCACUCCUUCCCAUCCCGAACAGGACAGUGAAACGCCUCUGCGCCGAUGAUAGUGCGGAUUCCCGUGUGAAAGUAGGACAUUGUCAGGC